rnacentral:rRNA from 1 species
GACGAACGCUGGCGGCGUGCCUAAUACAUGCAAGUCGAGCGGAACCUUUGGAGCUUGCUCCAUUGGUUUAGCGGCGGACGGGUGAGUAACACGUGGGCAACCUGCCCUGCAGAUCGGGAUAACUCCGGGAAACCGGUGCUAAUACCGAAUAGUUUGCGGCCUCUCCUGAGGCUGCACGGAAAGACGGUUUCGGCUGUCACUGCAGGAUGGGCCCGCGGCGCAUUAGCUAGUUGGUGGGGUAAUGGCCCACCAAGGCGACGAUGCGUAGCCGGCCUGAGAGGGUGAUCGGCCACACUGGGACUGAGACACGGCCCAGACUCCUACGGGAGGCAGCAGUAGGGAAUCUUCCGCAAUGGACGCAAGUCUGACGGAGCAACGCCGCGUGAGUGACGAAGGUUUUCGGAUCGUAAAACUCUGUUGUGAGGGGAGAACACGUACCAGGUAACUACUGGUACCUUGACGGUACCUCACCAG